GAGGGGCCCGCGCCGCGCCCCUCCGCCGCCUGCCCGGGCGCCUGAGCUAGCUGGGGGCCUGCAGCGGCUCCCUGCGCCCGCCGAGGGGCGAAGCGCGGCAGCCGCGCCCGGCGCAGCUCAGUGGCGGGAGGCGGCAGCCCUGCCCGCCGUAAGCCUACAGCCCCGGGAGGGACCGCGCUGCCGCCUCACUGCCGCGCUGCUCUAGCCGUGCCUUUGCGCGUUGCUCGGGGCAGGGAGUUGAUGAUUAAUCUGUAAUUCAUUGAACACCUGCAUAAGUCACGCCCAGGGGUGGUUUAGCCUUGUCCGAGAUUCGGGACCUCGGGUUUUGCCUUCCUCUCCUGUCGCUGAGGCGCUGGUUCUGCCAGUCCUGCUGCUGCCAGAGUGCUGCGGUGGUGCGCAGGCUCCCUGUGGAAAAUCUCCUAAGCAGCCUAGAGCUUGCCUUGCAGUGUUUUUUGGAUGCUUCAGUCUCAAGAAGCUGAGAUGAUGUGGGGCUCUCGGUCUCAGCGAGUAUUUCUGCAUUAGCAGCCUCAGGCUGAAAGAGCUCUCAGUAUUUGAUGCUAGCUUUUGAAUCCACACUGGCCCUUUUUCGUCGAGCGUGAGCUGCAAGGAGCUCAACAGCAGCGGCAUUUAGUUCAAUUUCUUCAGAUAAACUGGAAAUUUUCAAUAAUGGCAAUACGUUCAUUCUGCCAUUUGGAGGAGCCUGUGCCACAGAAUAAUGAUCUGAAGAAAGCUCACUUAUUUGCAAGGAAGAGUCUUCAUUUGGGAAGUAGUUCCGUUGCAGCUAACAGGUGCUUUGUCAAGUUCAGAACCUCCUGUUUGUGGACAAAAUUGGGGUUUCCUCAAAGAGAGUCCUGUAUCUGAAGAGUGAGAAGCACUAGGUCUUUGACAUUCAGUGGGAUGAGAAUCUCAGAACAGACUGACUACUGGGGACUCCCAAGCUACAGUUCAGAAACCAUUUUGUUAGGUGUGGGUUGCUUGUCAGAAAUCCAUUCGAAGCUUGAGUGCAAGGCAAGCAGGGUACUAAUGAUGGAUAUGAAUGGAUAUCUUCAGGAUAACAAUGGAUGCAGCAUCUUCAAAAGCAGUGUCAUUCUGGCUCUGCCACUGGAUUUGUUCAAAUGGACCUUGAUAGCCAUGGGGCCUGACUGAGUUGAUGAGACUCUGGGUGACUGCAAGUUUCUACUCUGAAGAUCUGAUUGUAGGCUUCAACCUAAAUUUCUAUUUUAUUCCUCUGUCUAUUUCCUUCUAAUACAUGAAAAUUAUCCUACAAAAUGGUAUUGUCUUUGAGUCUCAUGCACACCUACUUUAAUAGCAUUCAGAUACCAUGUGCUUGGGAUGUUGUCAGAGAUCGUUAAAACACUUCUGUUGUGUCAUAUGCCAAAACCUCAUCAUUGCUGUGAUUAUUGCGUUAUAUUUUUACAUUCAGUGGCUUCCUACCUAAAAUGGAGAUCAUCAUCUGUGUUUUCAGUCAUUGUGGUAUUUCUCUUAACUCAGAUUUGGAAGUCAGAGUAACUGUUAGAACUCUAUUCAGGUCUACACUUUUAAAGGUGCUAGUAGACUUGGUUUUGUUUGUUGAACACAAAUAAGUUCUAUUUUACUUUAUUUUGCAAUGUGCUGUUUUUUUAGUAGCCUACUACUACUGAAAGCUUUCAAUAUGAUGAUACCCUGUGAUGUAGACCAAUAAAAUAAGUAGGAAAAGGCAUGAACUUUUA